GCCCGCGUGGCACAAUUGGUUAGCGCGUGAGACUUUUACAGUAGAGAUCUCAAGGUUGAGAGUUCGAGGUUAGUUGCAUGUA